UUUGGUGACGAUAGCGAAGUGGAUACACCUGUUCCCAUCCCGAACACAGAAGUUAAGCACUUUAGCGCCGACGAUAGUGCUCUGCGCGAAAAUAGGUCGUCGCCAAGC
rnacentral:rRNA from 1 species